rnacentral:rRNA from 1 species
UACGGGGGGGAGCAAGCGUUUGUUCGGAUUUACUGGGCGUAAAGGGCGCGUAGGCGGUCAGCACAAGUCAGUUGUGAAAUCUCCGGGCUUAACUCGGAAAGGUCAACUGAUACUGUGCGACUAGAGUGCAGAAGGGGCAACUGGAAUUCUCGGUGUAGCGGUGAAAUGCGUAGAUAUCGAGAGGAACACCUGCGGCGAAGGCGGGUUGCUGGGCUGACACUGACGCUGAGGCGCGAAAGCCAGGGGAGCGAACGGG